rnacentral:tmRNA from 1 species
GGGGUUGACUGGAUUUGACAGCGGGUUGGAAUGGUAUGUAAGCAUGCGGAGCGCGGACAGUCUGCUCCUAAAUCUCGGUUGUCAAAAAUUUAUCUGGCGAAAAUAAUUACGCUCUUGCUGCCUAACCGAAUCACAGUAGGUUACUGGCUUUAUCCUUUUAUUAGAUAGAGGGACGAGACACCACUCGGAAACUGUUGUUCCGAAGUAUUUCGAUCAAGUGGUGCAGUAAAUCGGGAAUAGUCAUUGUGUGCUUCGACACAUUGAUGAAACUUUAGAAGAUAAGGCUUCGGUCGGUGGUUCAGGUCUUGCCUAAGCACGAAAAUUAAAGGCUGAAAUAAGCAUGUAGAAAGCAUAUGGUUUCCCUGUUUGGACGAGGGUUCGAAUCCCUCCAGCUCCACCC